rnacentral:tRNA from 1 species
GGGCCUGUAGCUCAGCUAGAAACUUUUGGUAAAAGUUUCAUCAAAACUUACCAACUGCUUCCUGGAAUGGUAGAGCGACGGACUUUUAAUCCGCAGGCCGCGUGUUCAAAUCACGCCAGGCCCG